rnacentral:rRNA from 1 species
CAGCUAGUUGGUGGGGUAAGAGCCUACCAAGGCGAAGACGGCUAGGGGGCGUGAGAGCGUGACCCCCCACAAGGGAACUGAGAGACGGUCCCUACUCCUACGGGAGGCAGCAGUGAGGAAUAUUGAGCAAUGGGCGCAAGCCUGACUCAGCAACGCCGCGUGGAUGAAGAAGGCCUUCGGGUUGUAAAAUCCUUUUCUGCGGGAAGAUAAUGACGGUACCGCAGGAAUAAGUUCCGGCUAACUACGUGCCAGCAGCCGCGGUAAAACGUAGGGGACAAGCGUUAUCCGGAUUUACUGGGCGUAAAGCGCCCGUAGGCGGCUUAACAAGUUGGAUGUGAAAGCUCCCGGCUUAACUGGGAGAGGUCAUUCAAAACUGUUAGGCUAGAGGAUGGAAGAGGAGAGCGGAAUUCCCGGUGUAGUGGUGGAAUGCGUAGAGAUCGGGAGGAACACCAGUGGCGAAAGCGGCUCUCUGGUUCACACCUGACGCUGAGGGGCGAAAGCGUGGGGAGCGAACGGGAUUAGAUACCCCGGUAGUCCACGCUGUAAACGAUGGAUACU